CUGAAUAGUGAUGACUACUGGCGGUGUGUGUGUCAUGAUUGGUGAAGAACAUGGAUCUGAAACUCUGAGGUCCAA
ensembl:snoRNA